rnacentral:lncRNA from 1 species
UGAGUCUCUGCUUUCAUGAACCUUACUAUCAUGCAUAUCAGUAAAAGAAUGGUCCUCAGCCCAUAACAGUGUAAAAUCCUAGUAGAUGGAGGACAGACUGGACAGACUGUUUUUCUGGACAGAGUGAAAAGGAGAAAGGGUCAGUUUAGGCUGCAUGAAGAUUCCUCAUAAUUUUAUGAUCCAUCUGUAGCAAAUUAAUGGUGAGUGAAAGGAAAAAAUAUUAUUAGGAUGAGCAUCUUUUUUUGCCUCAAUGUCAGAAACGUGUUAAAUGUAGGUAUGAUAAAUUAUAAG